AUUGAACGCUGGCGGCAUGCUUUACACAUGCAAGUCGAACGGUAACAGGGAGCUUGCUCCGCUGACGAGUGGCGAACGGGUGAGUAAUGCGUCGGAACGUGCCCAGUCGUGGGGGAUAACGUAGCGAAAGCUACGCUAAUACCGCAUACGAUCUAUGGAUGAAAGCGGGGGACCGUAAGGCCCUGCGCGAUUGGAGCGGCCGAUAUCAGAUUAGGUAGUUGGUGGGGUAAAGGCCUACCAAGCCGACGAUCUGUAGCUGGUCUGAGAGGACGACCAGCCACACUGGGACUGAGACACGGCCCAGACUCCUACGGGAGGCAGCAGUGGGGAAGUUUGGACAAUGGGCGCAAGCCUGAUCCAGCAAUGCCGCGUGCAGGAUGAAGGCCUUCGGGUUGUAAACUGCUUUUGUACGGAGCGAAAAGGCUCUCUCUAAUACAGGGGGCUCAUGACGGUACCGUAAGAAUAAGCACCGGCUAACUACGUGCCAGCCGCCGCCGUAAAAC
rnacentral:rRNA from 1 species